rnacentral:rRNA from 1 species
AGUGAACGCUGGCGGUAGGCCUAACACAUGCAAGUCGAACGGCAGCACAGUAAGAGCUUGCUCUUACGGGUGGCGAGUGGCGGACGGGUGAGGAAUACAUCGGAAUCUACUUUUUCGUGGGGGAUAACGUGGGAAACUUACGCUAAUACCGCAUACGACCUACGGGUGGAAGCAGGGGAUCUUCGGACCUUGCGCGAUUGAAUGAGCCGAUGUCGGAUUAGCUAGUUGGCGGGGUAAAGGCCCACCAAGGCGACGAUCCGUAGCUGGUCUGAGAGGAUGAUCAGCCACACUGGAACUGAGACACGGUCCAGACUCCUACGGGAGGCAGCAGUGGGGAAUAUUGGACAAUGGGCGCAAGCCUGAUCCAGCCAUACCGCGUGGGUGAAGAAGGCCUUCGGGUUGUAAAGCCCUUUUGUUGGGAAAGAAAAGCAGCAGGUUAAUACCCCGCUGUUCUGGCGGUACCCAAAGAAUAAGCACCGGCUAACUUCGUG